rnacentral:pre_miRNA from 1 species
AUUGUACCCCCUUCGUCCGGAAAUACCUGUCGGAGCAAUGAAUGUAUGUGGACGUAUUUUAGUUUUAGAUGCAUCCAUUUAUAUUCAUUUUCGCGAUAAGUAUUUCCAUACGAAGGGAGUAGUUA